AGAGAGAAAACAAAAACAAAAAAAACUUUCAGAGGAAGGAGCCCCUGCAUUCUGGUGGAAAGUAUUCAAGGUGAAGAUAAACUUUUCAACUUAAUAUCGUGACUUUGAUAGCAGAAGGGAUCUACUCUUGAAAGCCCAAAAAAUGUUGUUGCUAUAGGAACAGACUUGGUAAACAAGAUAUGUGAGAAGAAAAGAAGGUCAAAGACCCGGCUGCACUCCUGCUUCACUGCUGAACUUCUGCUUCUAGCUACCAGGGAAUACACCACUCCUCACAUUAGGGAUUUCCUAAAAUUGUUAGGUGUUUCGAACAGAACUUGCUAUACGGAUGAGGCUCAAACCCGAAUCAUAAAGUGGCAUGGUGCUUCUCUCCGUAUCCGCUUUAUUUAAAAAGAAAACAUUCUUGAUAAGAUGAAUACAGUAUUUUCAUUCUAGCAAACUUCUGCUGUCAGAGGUUACCUUUACAGGAUAGAGAGAUUUCUCAAACACGACCUUUUCUUGUGAAAUACCAGAGUGAAAUUGCAGAGAAGUCUGUGUGUGUGUGUGUGUGUGUGUGUGUGUGUGUGUGUGUGUGUGUGUGUGUGUCUUGGAGGCUGAGGAGUGGGAAUGGGAAGAAGGGAAUGUGGCUAGAAUCUUACCAUCUCAUUUUCUUCUCCUUCAUUGAGCAAAGCGUGCUGGCCCUUCUCAAACUGGUCCCCCAUGAAAAAGUUAUUCCACACUUCCUCCCUGACUUUGCCAGGCAAAUGCUUCCAGGACGAACUCCAACUCGCCGCCAAGCCACCGCAGCUCCUCAGCUGACUAAAAGAGUUAAUGAUCCUCCAGGUUAAAACUCCUCCUUGGGCACACACCUUCCCUCAACAAAUGACAAUACUUGGCACACUGAACUCCUCCCACAAGUCGCCCUCUGCUAGGAGGAAUUUCUGGCUGCUCUCUGUUUAUUGCAUUCUCUCAGAGCAGCUGUCUCAAAGGAGGCUGCUCCCAUGCCGAUCUUUUUGUGCCCAACUUACAGGGAAAGAACUCAUUGCCUGCCCACUGCCUGCCAGCAUCAGACCUCUGACUGCAAAUCCAACAGGACAAUACAGAGUUGGCAGGACCCUUCUCAGGAGUGAGGAGCGGGUGCAAGAACUCCCAGGUCACUGCUUUAUUCAGAUGGCCUAAGGAAUUGGAGUGAGUGGAAGUACACAGAGUCUUGGAUCUUCUUCGAUUAAUGAAAGCUUCGAUCCAUAGGUUUUCAAUACUAUUCUCAUUCAUUUUGCUUACAAAAGAUGCAAAUUAUCACUAAUCUGUAAUCACAUUUCCUUGUAUAUGCAAAAAACAUUCUGUUUGCUGUAUACGUGAAAUUAAGUUUACUUUUUUGAAACACAUGUAGAAAAAGAACAAAGCUAUAAUCAAACUAGUCUGUGUCACUCUUUACAUAAAAUAUUGAUGGUUCAACACUUAAGGAAGUCUAGAAAUAAAAUAUUGAAGUGAC